rnacentral:rRNA from 1 species
GAACAAAUCCAGCGAAGCCUUUAGAGAUAGAGGCGUGCCUUCGGGAGCGCUGAGACAGGUGCUGCAUGGCUGUCGUCAGCUCGUGUUGUGAAAUGUUGGGUUAAGUCCCGCAACGAGCGCAACCCUUAUCCUUGUUUGCCAGCACGUAAUGGUGGGAACUCCAGGGAGACUGCCGGUGAUAAACCGGAGGAAGGUGGGGACGACGUCAAGUCAUCAUGGCCCUUACGAGUAGGGCUACACACGUGCUACAAUGGCAGAUACAGAGGGCAGCGAGACAGCGAUGUUUAGCGAAUCCCUUAAAGUUUGUCGUAGUCCGGAUUGGAGUCUGCAACUCGACUCCAUGAAGUCGGAAUCGCUAGUAAUCGUGGAUCAGAAUGCCACGGUGAAUACGUUCCCGGGCCUUGUACACACCGCCCGUCACACCAUGGGAGUGGGCUGCACCAGAAGUAGAUAGCUUAACCUUCGGGAGGGCGUUUGCCACGGUGUGGUUCAUGAC